UACAGAGGUCUCAAGCGUUGUUCGGAUUCAUUGGGCGUAAAGCGCACGUAGGCGGUCUUGUAAGUCAGGAGUGAAAGCCCUCGGCUUAACCGGGGAAGUGCUUUUGAAACUGCAAGACUUGAAUACUGGAGAGGAUCGCGGAAUUCCCGGUGUAGAGGUGAAAUUCGUAGAUAUCGGGAGGAACACCAGUGGCGAAGGCGGCGAUCUGGACAGAUAUUGACGCUGAGGUGCGAAAGCGUGGGGAGCAAACAGG
rnacentral:rRNA from 1 species